rnacentral:rRNA from 1 species
UUAUUGGAGAGUUUGAUCCUGGCUCAGGACGAACGCUGGCGGCGUGCCUAACACAUGCAAGUCGAACGGAGUGUUUAUUUAUAAACACUUA